rnacentral:piRNA from 1 species
UGGACUCUAGACAAGCAUUACAGUGAA